rnacentral:rRNA from 1 species
AGAAUCAACGCUGGCGGCGUGCCUAACACAUGCAAGUCGAGCGGAAAGGCCCUUCGGGGUACUCGAGCGGCGAACGGGUGAGUAACACGUGAGUAACCUGCCCCUAGCUCCGGGAUAGCUCCGGGAAACCGGAAUUAAUACCGGAUGUGAUCACGGCCGACAUCGGCCACGAUGGAAAGAUUUAUCGGCUAGGGAUGGGCUCGCGGCCUAUCAGCUUGUUGGUGGGGUAAUGGCCUACCAAGGCGACGACGGGUA